UACGUAGGGGGCUAGCGUUGUCCGGAUUUAUUGGGCGUAAAGAGCGUGUAGGCGGUCAGGUAGGUCGGUUGUGAAAACUGGAGGCUCAACCUUCAGAGGUCGACCGAAACCCCCUGGCUAGAGUCCGGGAGAGGAGAGUGGAAUUCCUGGUGUAGCGGUGAAAUGCGCAGAUAUCAGGAAGAACACCCGUGGCGAAAGCGGCUCUCUGGAACGGUACUGACGCUGAGACGCGAAAGCGUGGGAGCGAACAGG
rnacentral:rRNA from 1 species